AUGGAGCAGGAAACAAUAACUCCAUUGAAGCCUGAAGUCAAUGUUCUCCAAGGAACAGACAUCACUCUCUCCUGCAACUACAAGGGCAACGUUAACAAUCUCCAAUGGUACCGUCAAUACCACGGAUCUGGACCAGAAUGUCGUAAAACCAUUAUGUUACUUUUUUCAAUGUUACUGUUCACAACAAUUAAAGGUUUAAAUUCUGAAGAGGUAAUUACACCCUAUACUCAUGCAGUGCUGGCUUUGGACGAGGGCAGAGUUACUCUCUCUUGCAACUACACCUCUGGUGACAAUCUUCAAUGGUAUCACAAUAUCCCAAAUCAGCACCACAGUUAGUGGUUAAGGAGUAUGUGGAUAAUACACCAGGGUUCAAACUAAAUCAUGAUAAAAAGGCCAAACGUGUGGAUCUGGAGAUCUCCUCUGCUGAGGUGACAGACUCUGCUCUGUACUACUGUGCUCUGAGGCUCACACUUUUUUAG